CCUCUUGAGCUUCUUGAUCCAUUUGCACCGUUUCCUUAUAAAUUGAGCCGCUCUAAAUGUAAUGGUAAUUUAAUUGGAUAGUAACUCGACGACUUUUCAAGAGUUGAGCCACAAUUUUCCUUAUACAAGCAGCAGAGCGACGAGGCAAAGGCAGUGAAAUUGUAUUGUUUAGUAUAGAACAUCUUCUUCAACAACCUUCAGAGGUAUGUGACCUAAUGCCUUGUAAACUGGGCUGGUCUCAACUGAAGCCCAAUGCCUGGGCAUUUUUGAGCAUGAAAUACAACGACGAGUUGGACUACCAGCGAUCCAUUCAGUCCAUCUUCUCUUAUUCUGUUGCUUCCAUCUUUCCAACUGAGAAAUGGAGGAUCCAAUCUGUUAUG